ACGGGUCUACAAGCGGACUAUGGCUUACUGUUUGAGCAGACAUUGGUUGACCAAGUGACGGGUCUAACGGCGGACUAUGGCUUACUGUUUGAGCAGACAUUGGUUGACCAAGUGACGGGUCUACAAGCGGACUAUGGCUUACUGUUUGAGAAGACAUUGGUUGACCAAGUGACGGGUCUACAAGCGGACUAUGGCUUACUGUUUGAGCAGACAUUGGUUGACCAAGUGACGGGUCUACAAGCGGACUAUGGCUUACUGUUUGAGCAGACAUUGGUUGACCAAGUGACGGGUCU